CGGGGAUGACUUGUGGGUAGCGGUGAAAUUCCAAUCGAGCCCGGAGAUAGCUGGUUCUCCCCGAAAUAGCUUUAGGGCUAGCCUCAAGGUGAGAGAUACGGAGGUAGAGCACUGAAUGUCCUAGGGGGUAUUGCACCUACCGAAGACUAUCAAACUCCGAAUGCCGUCAUCUUAUACUUGGGAGUCAGACUGUGGGUGAUAAGAUUCAUAGUCGAAAGGGCAACAGCCCAGAUCGUCAGCUAAGGUCCCUAAAUGUAAGUUAAGUGGUAAAGGAUGUGGGAUUGCACAGACAACCAGGAUGUUGGCUUAGAAGCAGCCACUCAUUCAAAGAGUGCGUAAUAGCUCACUGGU
rnacentral:rRNA from 1 species